rnacentral:rRNA from 1 species
UACAGAGGGGGCAAGCGUUGUUCGGAAUUACUGGGCGUAAAGGGCGCGUAGGCGGCCUUCUAAGUCGAACGUGAAAUCCCCGGGCUCAACCCGGGAACUGCGUCCGAUACUGGAAGGCUUGAAUCCGGGAGAGGGAUGCGGAAUUCCAGGUGUAGCGGUGAAAUGCGUAGAUAUCUGGAGGAACACCGGUGGCGAAGGCGGCAUCCUGGACCGGUAUUGACGCUGAGGCGCGACAGCGUGGGGAGCAAACAGG